AUUGAACGCUGGCGGCAGGCCUAACACAUGCAAGUCGAACGAGUGGCGGACGGGUGAGUAAUGUCUGGGAAACUGCCUGAUGGAAGGGGAUAACUACUGGAAACGGUAGCUAAUACCGCAUACCAUCGGAUGUGCCCAGAUGGGAUUAGGUUGUGGGUGUGGUAAAGGCUCACCAAGGCGACGAUCCCUAGCUGGGCUGAGAGGAUGACCAGCAACACUGGAACUGAGACACGGUCCAGACUCCGACGGGAGGCAGCAGUGGGGAAUAUUGCACAAUGGGGGCAAGCCUGAUGCAGCCAUGCCGCGUGUAUGAAGAAGGCCUUCGGGUUGUAAAGUACUUUCAGCGGGGAGGCGUUACCCGCAGAAGAAGCACCGGCUAACUCCGUGCCAGCAGCCGCGGUAAUUC
rnacentral:rRNA from 1 species